GUAGUCUGCAACUCGACUACAUGAAGCUGGAAUCGCUAGUAAUCGCGAAUCAGAAUGUCGCGGUGAAUACUUCCCGGGUCUUGUACACACCGCCCGUCACACCAUGGGAGUUGGGAAUGCCCGAAGCCGGUGACCUAACCGAAAGGGAGGAGCCGUCGAAGGCAGGCUUGAUAACUGGGGUGAAGUCGUAACAAGGUACC
rnacentral:rRNA from 1 species